CCUACGGGAGGCAGCAGUGAGGAAUAUUGGUCAAUGGACGAGAGUCUGAACCAGCCAAGUAGCGUGAAGGAUGACUGCCCUAUGGGUUGUAAACUUCUUUUAUAAAGGAAUAAAACGAGGCACGUGUGCCUUUUUGCAUGUACUUUAUGAAUAAGGAUCGGCUAACUCCGUGCCAGCAGCCGCGGUAAUACGGAGGAUCCGAGAGUUAUCCGGAUUUAUUGGGUUUAAAGGGAGCGUAGAUGGGUUGUUAAGUCAGUUGUGAAAGUUUGCGGCUCAACCGUAAAAUUGCAAUUGAUACUGGCAGUCGUGAGUACAGUUGAGGUAGGCGGAAUUCGGGGUGUAGCGGUGAAAUGCUUAGAUAUCACGAAGAACCCCGAUUGCGAAGGCAGCUUACUAAACUGUGACUGACAUUGAUGCUCGAAAGUGUGGGUAUCAAACAGGAUUAGAUACCCCUGUAGUC
rnacentral:rRNA from 1 species